UACGUAGGGUGCGAGCGUUGUCCGGAAUUACUGGGCGUAAAGAGCUCGUAGGCGGUUUGUCGCGUCGGGAGUGAAAUCCACUGGCUUAACUGGUGGCUUGCUUUCGAUACGGGCAGACUGGAGGUAUGCAGGGGAGAACGGAAUUCCUGGUGUAGCGGUGAAAUGCGCAGAUAUCAGGAGGAACACCGGUGGCGAAGGCGGGUCUCUGGGC
rnacentral:rRNA from 1 species